rnacentral:rRNA from 1 species
UACCUGCAGCCCAAGUGGUGCUCGUUAUUAUUGGGCCUAAAACGUCCGUAGUCGGCCCGGUAGAUGCCCCGGGAAAUCGCAGCGCCUAACGUUGCGAAGUCGGGGUAGACCGCCGGGCUCGGGAUCGGGCGAGGCAACAAGUACUCCUGGGGUAGGGGUAAAAUCCUGUAAUCCUAGGGGGACUACCAGUGGCGAAGGCGUGUUGCCAGAACGAGUCCGACGAUCAGGGACGAAGCCCAGGGGCGCAAACGGGAUUAGAUACCCCGGUAGUCCUGGGUGUAAACGCUGCCGGCUUGGUGUCGGGGAUUCUACGAGGGUUCCCGGUGCCGGAGUGAAGAUGUUAAGCCGGCUGCCUGGGGAGUACGGCCGCAAGGCUGAAACUUAAAGGAAUUGGCGGGGGAGCACCGCAACGGGUGGAGUGUGCGGUUUAAUUGGAUUCAACGCCGGAAAGCUCACCGGGAGCGACCAUCCAAUGUGGGCCAGGCUGAUGACCUUGCCUGAAUGAUGGAGAGGUGGUGCAUGGCCGUCGUCAGUUCGUACCGCGAGGCGUUCUGUUAAGUCAGAUAACGAACAAGACCCUCGUCUCCACUUGCGAUCCAUGGAGCACAAUGGAGAGACCGCUGGCGCUAAGUCAGAGGAAGGUGAGGUCUACGGUAGGUCCGUAUGCCCCGAAUCUCCCGGGCUACACGCGCACUACAAAGGACGGGACAAUGGGCUCCGACGCCGAAAGGCGAAGGCAAUCCCGAAACCCGUCCGUAGUUCAGAUCGAGGGUUGCAAUUCACCCUCGUGAAGGUGGAACCCGUAGUAAUCGCGCGUCAACAUCGCGCGGUGAAUACGCCCCUGCUCCUUGCACACACCGCCCGUCAAACCAUGCGAGUAGGGUUGAAGUGAGGGGGUGGUUCUCGAACUUCAGCUUUGCAAGCGGGGUU